rnacentral:rRNA from 1 species
GAUGAACGCUGACAGAAUGCUUAACACAUGCAAGUCUUUGGCGAAGCUGUGCUUGCACCGCCUAGCCAAGGCGGACGGGUGAGUAACGCGUAAGGAACUUGCCCUGCAGUCAGGGAUAACAGACGGAAACGACUGAUAAGACCUGGUAAAGUCAGGCGGACUCAUGUCCAGCCUGAUGAAAAGAGAUGCUGCAGGAGAGCCUUGCGUCCUAUUAGCUUGUUGGUGGGGUAACGGCCCACCAAGGCGAUGAUAGGUAGCCGGCCUGAGAGGGUGGACGGCCACAAGGGGACUGAGAUACGGCCCGUACUCCUACGGGAGGCAGCAGUGGGGAAUAUUGGACAAUGGGGGCAACCCUGAUCCAGCAAUUCUGUGUGCACGAUGAAGGUUUUCGGAUUGUAAAGUGAUUUCAGCAGGGAAGAAAAAAUGACGGUACCUGCAGAAGAAGCGACGGCUAAAUACGUG